rnacentral:lncRNA from 1 species
UGGGGUCUUACACUACGGCUAAUUUACGCCGCGACACCUCAGAUUGUGCUUGGUCUCGCACUGCAGUCGUCAGAUUCUAUUGUUAAAAAGUGGCGCUGCAACACCUCUCACUGAAGAAAACAUGGUGCUGCAGUGCCUAUAACGAAUUUUCAUUUUUUAAAACAAGCCAAAUUCGGCAAGUCAGGCCAUUUCACCCUUUUCUUUCGACCUUCCUCGACAGCUGAAGCAACCCAACUGUACGCCUCAGUUCCCCAAGCCCUAGCCUUCGAUCGAAUCGCACAUCCCAACCCCAAGUGAACCCUAAUUCAAGUGCGUAUCAAGAAUUGAGAUCAAAAUCAAGUUAGGGUUCUCCACUAAUGGUAAUUGGGGAUUUUAUUCCAUAAGAAACAAAAUUUGAUUAAGUUAUGUUUUGUUUCAUCUGAAGACCUUUUGGGUUUGCACAUUUCUUAUUUGUCUGUGUGGGUGAUUUCCACUAACGAAAAUCUGGCUAGUUCAUACUCCAAAAAUUAAUCAUUGAGUUAGGUUUUCAGAAGUGCAUGCCAGUUGGUUGACAGAUUGCCACAGUAAUUUUCUGCACUUCUUUUGGGUCUUUUAGGCACUUAGUUGCUAAGGUUAGUCGGGCAGACCUUGGUAUCCUACUUGGGAAAUCAUCUGGCUGUAAUCUAGGUCUUCAAAUUUGCCAUUGGUUGGGGGCUUGUUCCUACUUUGCUUAACAGUAAUUUGCAUAAGUUGGGCAAAAAUUGGUUUUGGCAUCCCUGUCGCCCCUUUUGGGUUUUUGGUUGUGACUUGCUUCUGUUCAAGCCAAUUUUUGAAAAUCUGAAUAUGGCUACAAAGAGGCAAAGGCUUAUAGAAUGGGCGGUUCUUCCUCUUCUUCAGGAACACAAAGAUGGUACAGUGAAAAAUUCAUUAGCGAAGAAGCUUAGAAAAGGUAUAAGAAAUCCUUUACCAAAAGGAACUUAGUGCCUAAGCGAGGUUUUCAGCCUGAUCAAACAAAAGAUGGCGAGAUGAUGGCCAUGAUUAAUGAGCGCAAAUGCGUGCAAUUUACCAAAUCUUCUGAGGUGGUUGUCGUCUCUAUGGUCCGCGAGUUUUAUGCAAAUAUUGUAACGCCCGAGAAAAUUGAAUUUUAUGUGAAUUAAAUUUUUAUUUGAUUAUUUGAAUUAAAUAAAUUUAAUUGAUUAUUUA